UAGACCUCAAAUCAGGUGGGACUACCCGCUGAACUUAAGCAUAUCAAUAAGCGGAGGAAAAGAAACUAACAAGGAUUCCCCUAGUAACGGCGAGUGAAGAGGGAAAAGCCCAAAUUUGUAAUCUGGCUCUUUUUAUAAGGGUCCGAGUUGUA
rnacentral:rRNA from 1 species